rnacentral:lncRNA from 1 species
AAAAUCCUUUCCAGCCCUGCCCUCAAGAAACCCCCAAUCGACAUCCUCAUAUCCUGCUCCUCCCCCUCUUUCACAUUCCUUUCAAUGAAUUCAUAAUGGAAACCCCUACAUCUACCCCUUUCACAUUCACUGCUUCAUCAAGAGACGCAAGAGACAGAGAGAGAUCGAGCAACCCACCAUAGUUUCCUCUCUGGAUCUUUGAAUUCCUGGAAUGGUCGCUCACGAUUUCUUACUUUUUGUGUGGUUGCAAUCUGUGGGAAAAAAGAUACAGAUGAAGAUGGAGUGAGGGAGAUCAAAUUCGCUGGCAAUAAUACUGGAGAAGUUUGAAUCUAUUAAUUCGUAAUGAUUCAUGAAUUGGGUUAUAUUGUGGAACUUCAUGAGUAUAUGGGAAGCUUUUCUCGAUUGCCUUGGAAGGGCUGAUUGCUUCUUCUAUUUUGCGUUUGAUUGAUUUUGGACAAGAGGCAGAAGAAGACCCUGAACAACUCUUAAGAAGAAGUGCCUCGCAAUUACUCUGGCUACGAGCUUGGGCGCAACAGAGGUGACAGAGACGUUAUGGUCUUCCUAUGGGAUAAUGGUGGUGGCCUGAUUAGAAUAAGCUUUGUAUUUACCCCUUAUAAUAAUCUGAUAUGCUGAUUAAAAUAAUUAAGAAAGCUUUA